GACGAACCGUGCAACCGUUGUUCGGAUUCACUGGGCUUAAAGGGCGCGUAGGCGGGCGGCCAAGUCAGGGGUGAAAUCUUUCGGCUCAACCGGAAAAUUGCCUUUGAUACUGGCCGUCUGGAGGGAGGUAGGGGCACGUGGAACUUCCGGUGGAGCGGUGAAAUGCGUUGAUAUCGGAAGGAACGCCGGUGGCGAAAGCGACGUGCUGGACCUCUUCUGACGCUGAUGCGCGAAAGCUAGGGGAGCGAACGGG
rnacentral:rRNA from 1 species